AUGGAGCUCUGGCUCAAAAGAGGAAUCUGCCCUUGGAGAUUUAAAAACAGCCCUUUUGUUAUGACUCUUUGCUAUAAUCUUCAUCUUCUUGCCUUGAGGUGGAAAUCAACUGUCAUGAAGUGCCAGCUAUAACUAGUCAGGAGGUGAGGGUGAGGAGAUGAAGAAGUGAAAUCACAGAGACCAGAGGGGUUUAGACACAGUGAGAGGAUGGAGGAAUAAAACAACUGUUAUAGAUGUGUCUAACCAGGAAUUGAUCCUGAAUCACAGUCACUAGAAGGAUCAGCUGUGUUUACAUAAGGAACCACCAUGCAGAAUGUGCUAAAUACAGAGGCAAAACCACACAUGUCUGCUGAGGGGCACUGUUUGAAUCCUCUGCUGUUGCAAAAUCAUCAGAUGCAUUCAAACCUCUCUUCUGGUUCUAAAUGGAUCCUGAAUUAUAUGAGCAUGUUCCUUCCUGAUAAGUACUUGGGAAAUAAUCUGUGUGACCAUAUUCAGCCUCCAAGCCCCACAGCCCUCGCUUUUGGAUGAAGUGGAGUGAAUCUGCAGGCUACCCUUGCUGCUGAAAUGCUUCUCUGAAACAACAGCUUAAGGAAUGAUAACAUUAUCUCACACAUAAGGGAGUUUUGGAAAAUGCAAUGGAUGAUAACCCAAUGCA